rnacentral:rRNA from 1 species
CCAAUAGCGUAUAUUAAAGUUGUUGCAGUUAAAAAGCUCGUAGUUGAAUUUCGGGGUUAGUAGAUCGGUCGUGCCACUGGUAUGUACUGGUCUCACUGAUUCCUCCUUCCUGAUGAACCGUAAUGCCAUUAAUUUGGUGUUGCGGGGAGACUGGACUGUUACUUUGAAAAAAUUAGAGUGUUUAAAGCAGGCUAACGCUUGAAUACAUUAGCAUGGAAUAACGGAAUAGGAGGUUCGAUCUUAUUUUGUUGGUUUCUAAGAUUGACGUAAUGAUUAAUAGGGAUAGUUGGGGGCAUUAGUAUUCAAUUGUCAGAGGUGAAAUUCUUGGAUUUAUUGAAGACUAACUACUGCGAAAGCAUUUGCCAAGGAUGUUUUCAUUAAUCAAGAACGAAAGUUAGGGGAUCGAAGACGAUCAGAUACCGUCGUAGUCUUAACCAUAAACUAUGCCGACUAGGAAUCGGAUGAUGUUAAUUUUUUAAUGACUCAUUCGGCGCCUUACG